rnacentral:rRNA from 1 species
GACGAACGCUGGCGGCGUGCCUAAUACAUGCAAGUAGAACGCACAGUUUAUACCGUAGCUUGCUACACCAUAGACUGUGAGUUGCGAACGGGUGAGUAACGCGUAGGUAACCUGCCUGGUAGCGGGGGAUAACUAUUGGAAACGAUAGCUAAUACCGCAUAAUAUUAAUUAUUGCAUGAUAAUUAAUUGAAAGGUGCAAUUGCACCACUACCAGAUGGACCUGCGUUGUAUUAGCUAGUAGGUGAGGUAACGGCUCACCUAGGCGACGAUACAUAGCCGACCUGAGAGGGUGAUCGGCCACACUGGGACGGAGACACGGCCCAGACUCCUACGGGAGGCAGCAGUAGGGAAUCUUCGGCAAUGGACGAAAGUCUGACCGAGCAACGCCGCGUGAGUGAAGAAGGGUUUCGGAUCGUAAAGGUCUGUUGUAAGAGAAGAACGGGUGUGAGAGUGGAAAGUUCACACUGUGACGGUAUCUUACCAGAAAGGGACGGCUAACUACGUG